UCGAGCGGAAACGAUGGGAGCUUGCUCCCAGGCGUCGAGCGGCGGACGGGUGAGUAACACUUAGGAAUCUACCUAGUAGUGGGGGAUAGCUCGGGGAAACUCGAAUUAAUACCGCAUACGACCUACGGGAGAAAGGGGGCAGUUUACUGCUCUCGCUAUUAGAUGAGCCUAAGUCGGAUUAGCUAGAUGGUGGGGUAAAGGCCUACCAUGGCGACGAUCUGUAGCUGGUCUGAGAGGAUGAUCAGCCACACCGGGACUGAGACACGGCCCGGACUCCUACGGGAGGCAGCAGUGGGGAAUAUUGGACAAUGGGGGGAACCCUGAUCCAGCCAUGCCGCGUGUGUGAAGAAGGCCUUUUGGUUGUAAAGCACUUUAAGCAGUGAAGAAGACCUAACGGUUAAUACCCGUUAGCGAUGACAUUAGCUGCAGAAUAAGCACCGGCUAACUCUGUGCCAGCAGCCGCGGUAAUACAGAGGGUGCAAGCGUUAAUCGGAAUUACUGGGCGUAAAGCGAGCGUAGGUGGCUUGAUAAGUCAGAUGUGAAAUCCCCGGGCUUAACCUGGGAACUGCAUCUGAUACUGUUAAGCUAGAGUAGGUGAGAGGGAAGUAGAAUUCCAGGUGUAGCGGUGAAAUGCGUAGAGA
rnacentral:rRNA from 1 species